GGAAGUCAGGCAUCUGUUCAUGAAAUUCUCUACAUUAGUCACAUGUGAAAAGGCUCUGUUGUGGGAGAAUGGGCUCAGGGGUGCAUGCUGUUGCAGUGGAGGUAACAGGACAGCUGUCACUGUCCUCACAGGUUGUCAGGAUGAUCCUAGUCAUCAGGGAU